CACUGCCUGACACUCUUUCCCUGUUGCACUACUGUGGGAGCUGCAGCAAGCAGUGCAAUAAUGAAAGGGCAUCAAUCAGUG
rfam:Xiphophorus maculatus strain JP 163 A Contig188.52, whole genome shotgun sequence.